UGAGUAACACGUAUCCAACCUCCCAUAACUCAGGGAUAGCCUUUCGAAAGAAAGAUUAAUACCUGAAUAGUACUUUUUCAAGGCAUCUUGAGAAAGUUAAAGAUUUAUUGGUUAUGGAUGGGAUGCGUCCAUUAGAUAGUUGGUGAGGUAACGGCUCACCAAGUCUUCGAUGGAUAGGGGUUCUGAGAGGAAGGUCCCCCACAUUGGUACUGAGACACGGACCAAACUCCUACGGGAGGCAGCAGUGAGGAAUAUUGGUCAAUGGGCGAGAGCCUGAACCAGCCAAGUAGCGUGAAGGAUAGAAGGUCCUAUGGAUUGUAAACUUCUUUUAUAGUAGAAUAAAGUGAUCCACGCGUGGAUUUUUGUAUGUAUACUAUGAAUAAGGAUCGGCUAACUCCGUGCCAGCCGCUGC
rnacentral:rRNA from 1 species